UACGGAAGGCAGCAGUGGGGAAUAUUGCACAAUGGGCGCAAGCCUGAUGCAGCCAUGCCGCGUGUAUGAAGAAGGCCUUCGGGUUGUAAAGUACUUUCAGUCGUGAGGAAGGUGUUAAGGUUAAUAACCUUAGCAAUUGACGUUAGCGACAGAAGAAGCACCGGCUAACUCCGUGCCAGCAGCCGCGGUAAUACGGAGGGUGCGAGCGUUAAUCGGAAUUACUGGGCGUAAAGGGCACGCAGGCGGUUAAUUAAGUUGGAUGUGAAAUCCCCGGGCUUAACCUGGGAAUGGCAUUCAAGACUGGUUAGCUAGAGUCUUGUAGAGGGGGUAGAAUUCCAUGUGUAGCGGUGAAAUGCGUAGAGAUGUGGAGGAAUACCGGUGGCGAAAGGCGGCCCCCUGGACAAAGGACUGACGCUCAUGUGCGAAAGCGUGGGGAGCAAACAGGGAUUAGAUAC
rnacentral:rRNA from 1 species